rnacentral:rRNA from 1 species
UUUCCCGGGUUGGAUCCCUGCCCGGGAGGGGUCAACUGGCUAAUUGGGGGAUUUCGACUAAAGCCCAUGCGAGUUCGAAGAGGGGUUUCGGGCCCUCGGGCAGACGGGCUCAGUAAACAACGUGGAUAAUCUGGCCCUUAGGUGGGAGAAAUACUCUCGGGAAACUGAGGAAUAAAUGCUCCAUAGAUCUAAGAUGCUGGAAUGCAUUUAGAUUAAAAGCUCCGGCGCCUAAGGAUGAGUCUGCGGACUAUCAGGCUGUAGUCAGGGUAAAGACCUGACUAACCUACGACGGAUACGGGUUGUGAGAGCAAUAACCCGGAGACGAUAUCUGAGACACGAUAUCGGGCCCUACGGGGCGCAGCAGGCGCGAAACCUUCACACUGUGCGAAAGCACGAUGAGGGAAUCCCAAGUGCUUGCUCGUAAGAGUAAGCUGUUUUUGUGUUUAAAAAGCAUAGAGAGUAAGAGCUGGGUAAGACGGGUGCCAGCCGCCGCGGUAAUACCUGCAGCUCAAGUGGUGACCGCUAUUAUUGGGCCUAAAACGUUCGUAGCCGGUUUAGUAAAUGCCUGGGUAAAUCGUGUAGCUUAACUAUACGAAUUCCGGGUAGACUGCUAAACUUGAGACCGGGAGAGGCUAGAGGUACUCCUGGGGUAGAGGUGAAAUUCUGUAAUCCUGGGGGGACCACCAGUGGCGAAGGCGUCUAGCUAGAACGGUUCUGACGGUGAGGUACGAAGCCCUGGGGCGCAAACCGGAUUAGAUACCCGGGUAGUCCCAAGUGUAACCGCCGCUUCCUUGAGAUUAGUUCCCUCCGAGCCCAAUCAGUGUCGGAGAGAUGCAAUAAAGCAAGCUACCUGGGAAGUCCGGUCAGCAAGGCUGAAACCAAAGGAAUGGGGGGGCAACCCAACCCAAAGGGGGAAUUG